UUUUAAAAAAAGAUCAAAUAUCUAAUUAUUUCACAUCAUAUAGGCAUCAAAUCAAUAUACCUUCAGUUUAUUAAGAUUCUCGUACAGCUAGCUACACAUGAGAAGUUCAAAUACCAACUAAUGAGUAGGAUAAAUGCUUCGAACAAUCUGGUGAAACAGUUCACAGAACAUCAGAAUCCAAUGAUUUAAUUACUUUGCGUCGCCACAUUGCAGUUUCAGGAUCAAACCUGAGUUCCCAUGUUGGCCAGUAAUGUAAAUCUUGCUUCAAUGUGAGCACUCGAGGUUUCCCAUUCAGGUGGAUUGUUCGUACACGAACAAACUCUCCAUGCUCUAUUGUCUUAGUCACAUCGACAAAAGCAUCCAAGUUAGGGGUUGGUUUCCCGUUGACUUCAACUAUCCAUUGAAGAGCAAAGAGACCAUGACGAUGUGCAGGACUCCCAUGACACCACCUUGCCACAUACACUCCAUGGCCUUCUUCAGGCAGAAACCCAAGUGCACGUACGGCUGGAUAAGGUUCUUGGAGGAUACCGCCACACCAAUUUAUUGCUCGUUUGGCUCCAUUUCCAUCCCUCACAUCCGUUCCCACAAGUAGUUCAAUUUCUUUUCCCUGACGGAAAAUUGUCAAGUCUAGUUUUCCAUCAUCCUGAGUGCAAUGGUCUAAAGAUUGGCAUGCAUCUUCAAUGUCACGAAAGCAUGUAACUGGCUGCUUAUUAAUUGCUAAGACCAUGUCCCCUUGUUCCAACAAGUUUUCAGUUUUUGACCCAGCAAAGCAACCUUUGACUCGCAAAACUUGGCGUCUCAGAGGAUCCUUCUUCACGAGGGCCUGGAUCCAUGCAUCACUUAAUCCAAAACUUCGAGCUUUAGAUAGCAAAGUAGGGUAAAGUUCAACUUCCAAUAUUCUUAACCGAGGCAUAGGUCUUUGCAAACCAUUUAUAAGACGAGGAGGUCCGUCGGCACCAGAAAUAAUCUUGCCAAGGACUUGGCUUAUGGUAUAAAUUGGAAUACCUCGGACAAAUUGGUGAUCUUCUGACAAACUACAACCAUACUUGAGCUGCGUUGAAAAGCUUCCCCACAGAGCUUGAACCCUGCCACGCUCAUCAGUCAGCACACCAGAAAAUGUACUUCCAAAAUCAGUGUCAAGCUCAAUCACUUCCAUGUUUGUUGCUCUGUAACGUGGACAAUCAGCAGAACCAAUAUUCACAGCAGCAGAUGGGUUGGUCACAACCGAUUUUCUGGAAGUUGCCUGUAGACUUCUGCUCAAUCCCACAAGAUACACUGAAUCUCCACGACGAAGAGCAGGAUCAGGAAGAAGUUCACAAGCACGAACAGCAGAAGCAGCAGUAGUUCCAAGAGCAGAAGGAUCAUAUGCAACCAGAGCAAAAUUAUGGACAGGGUGGAGGAAAACUACCUCUCCAGGAAUCUCAAUAGGAAAAGCAGCAAAAGAUAGCAUUAUAUCAGAAACUGAUACUGCAACAGUGUUUUUGUCAACUGCAACCAAGCCCAUGUUGUGGGAAUGGUAUACGAUAACACCAGUUCCAAAAAAAUGCUGUGAGUGAACUCCAUCAAGCAUGCAUAAUGAUGGUACAUGGACCUCGAACAUAACAAGAGUAGGCUCUAUUGCACGCUCAGCAACAGAGGCAUUAUUAGACACAGGUGCAGCACCUUGAUCCUCCACAGCCCCAGAUUCAUCAAACCUUUCCUCUCUAUGUCCAUUUAAAGAGCGGCCAAUUAUUACAUCACCAUCCGCAGAUAAGUUUUCUUCCACCCUCCGUUUCUUAGUUCCAGCAUCAGAAUCAUCCUGACUGUUUAGUCCCACUGUAACGUUGUCACAACUAAUCUCUGUUUUGGUAACUCCAUCCAUUGAUUCUUGGCUGACUUGUUGAGGCCUAAGAUCCAUUGCACUAACCUCAGUAGCACAAGAAGAAACACUAUGAUUUGACAAAUCUUGUUUGCCUGGAUGAAUGCCAGAGAAUAGAAGUGGAGACUCAGGUGGCAAGGCAAGUUUAACAGUCCAUAAACCAGAGCUGUCAUCGCGUUUAUAUAUCUGAGGAGGUGCAUACCAUUCAUGGCGGUCAAUUGUGACCAGUACAGACUUUUUCCGGUGACGAUCAUUGUAGCUUAUAUACUCCAAUGGUACUCUUGCACUCCUAGACAACUUAGAUAAAGCAGAAAUUAAUUCUUCAAGGGUCGAUAUAUCUUCUCCGGCAAAUUUUUUAAUGAUGGCAUGGCGAGGAACUCCUGCUCUAAAUAGCAUAUAUCCUGUUUCUGCCACGUAGACAAGACCACAGUGAAAGCGGAAAUUUCGAGCCUGUUGAUAAGAUAGGGGAUGAAUAACUGCACCACUGACUUCCAAGAAGCGGUCAGGAGUAAUUGAAUGCAAAUCCUGAACCAAUAGUUGCACAGUCAUAGGGGUUCCACCCCUUUCUAUUUGAAGCUCAACUUUCUGCCCAACACUGUCAUCAAGUAAAGUCUCCAUCUUCAGGAAUUGAGUAAUCACCUCCCCAUUCAUACGAAUAAGCACAUCACCAGGCUCCAAAUGAUUGUGAGCUGGGCCACCAGGUACCACAGAAUCAACGACAAGCAUUCCAGUCUCACUGGGUGGAGAGGAAUUGCGCACCAACUGCUCUGUGGCACUAAGGAGGCCAAGCCGGCGAGUUUCAUCAUAUCCUUUGUGGAGAAAAGUUACCUGAAGCGUACCACGAGGAAUAGUAACAGCCUCCCAUUUAUUUGUGGUAAGAUUCAAUCCUUCCUGUAAGAAUUCCAGUGCCCUGACAACUCGUUCUAAUGGCAAGAAAAAUGCAGAAGCACUUGAUGACUUGCUUCCAGCAUUCAAAGCGACAGCUCUCCCUUGCCAAUUUAUUACAGGGGAGCCACUUGAACCACCUUUUGUCCCAGAAGCAGCUUGCAUGUAGAACGUGUUGAAGUCAUUGUAUCCAUCCUUUUUAUAAUGCGGAGCAUCUCUGUCAAGUCGAGCAAGGGUUCCAGCUAAAAUAGAUACCUGCAUAAAUCCAGAUUAAAGCAAAGAGAAAUAGGAUACGAAAAUUUCUUAAGAAAAU
rnacentral:misc_RNA from 1 species